rnacentral:tRNA from 1 species
ACCUGGGUGGCUCAGUGGUUGAGCAUCUGCCUUUGACUCAGGUCAUGAUCCCAGGGUCCUGGGAUCGAGUCCCACACCAGGCU